rnacentral:rRNA from 1 species
UGGGGAAUAUUGGACAAUGGGGGGAACCCUGAUCCAGCCAUGCCGCGUGUGUGAAGAAGGUCUUCGGAUUGUAAAGCACUUUAAGUUGGGAGGAAGGGCAGUAAGCGAAUACCUUGCUGUUUUGACGUUACCGACAGAAUAAGCACCGGCUAACUCUGUGCCAGCAGCCGCGGUAAUACAGAGGGUGCAAGCGUUAAUCGGAAUUACUGGGCGUAAAGCGCGCGUAGGUGGUUCGUUAAGUUGAAUGUGAAAGCCCCGGGCUCAACCUGGGAACUGCAUCCAAAACGGGCGAGCUAGAGUAGGGCAGAGGGUGGUGGAAUUUCCUGUGUAGCGGUGAAAUGCGUAGAUAUAGGAAGGAACACCAGUGGCGAAGGCGACCACCUGGGCUCAUACUGACACUGAGGUGCGAAAGCGUGGGGAGCAAACAGG